AACGAACGCUGGCGGCGCGUCUUAACCAUGCAAGUCGAGCGGCAGGCAGCAAUGCCGAGAGCGGCGGACUGGUGAGUAACACGUGGAUAACGUACCCCGAUGUCCGGGACAGCCUGUAGAAAUAGAGGGUAAUACCGGAUAGAUCACUGUUUACGUGAGGUAGACAGCGGGAAAGGAGCUUCGGCUCCGCGACGGGAUCGGUCUGCGGCCCAUCAGCGGGACGGCGGGGUAAAGGCCCGCCGUGGCGAGGACGGGUAUCCGGCCUGAGAGGGCGGACGGACACAUUGGGACUGAGAUACGGCCCAGACUCCUACGGGAGGCAGCAGGUAAGAAUAUUCCGCAAUGGGGGGAACCCUGACGGAGCGACGCCGCGUGAACGAAGAAGGCCGGAAGGUUGUAAAGUUCUUUUCUGUCCGAGGAAUAAGUUUCGGAGGAAAUGCCGGGACGGUGACGGUAGGGCAGGAAUAAGCACCGGCUAAUUACGUG
rnacentral:rRNA from 1 species